UCGACAUACAAGAAGAUUGUAUCAUGGGUUCGAAUCCCAUUUCCUCCG
rnacentral:tRNA from 1 species